AGGGUUGGUACCAUGUAGUGGUUAGGUAACAGUAGGAUACAGUGUUAGAGGGUUGGUACCAUGUAGUGGUUAGGUAACAGUAGGAUACAGUGUUAGAGGGUUGGUACCAUGUAGUGGUUAGGUAACAGUAGGAUACAGGGUUAGUGGUUAGGUAACAGUAGGAUACAGUGUUAGAGGGUUGGUACCAUGUAGUGGUUAGGUAACAGUAGGAUACAGGGUUAGAGGGUUGGUACCAUGUAGUGGUUAGGUAACAGUAUGAUACAGGGUUAGUGGUUAGGUAACUGUAGGAUACAGUGUUA